GUCUUUGGAUGAGUUGUGGGUAGGGGUGAAAGGCCAAUCAAACUGAGAGAUAGCUCGUACUCCCCGAAAUGCUUUUAGGAGCAGCGUGGAAGUUAGUUUAUCAGAGGUAGAGCUACCGAUUGGACUAGGGGGAGUCAAAUCCUACCAAAUCCAGACGAACUCCGAAUGCUGAUAAAUAUAUUCCGCAGUGAGGGCUUGGGUGCUAAGGUCCGAGUCCGAGAGGGAAAGAACCCAGACCUACAGCUAAGGUCCCUAAAUUUGUACUAAGUUGAACUAAGGAGGUUCAGCUGCUUAGACAGCCAGGAUGUUGGCUUGGAAGCAGCCAUUCAUUUAAAGAGUGCGUAACAGCUCACUGGUCGAGCGGCAGAGCAUCGAUAAUAAUCGGGCAUCAAGUACAAUACCGAAGCUUAGGAUCAUUUAUGAUGGUAGGGGAGCAUUCUCUAGACGACGAAGGUGUGACGCGAGUCAUGCUGGAGAGUAGAGAAGAGCAAAUGUAGGCAUAAGUAACGAUAAGGCAGGCGAGAAACCUGCCCACCGAUAGACUAAGGAUUCCCCGGCAAUGCUAAUCAGCCGGGGGUUAGUCGGGACCUAAGGCGAACCCGAAAGGGGUAGUCGAUGGACAACUGGUUAAUAUUCCAGUACCACCUUUAUUUUCGAUGGGGUGACGGAGUAGUGAAAGCACCGCGUACUGACGGAAUAGUACGUUGAAGGGUGUAGGUAUAAGGACUGUAGGUAAAUCCGCAGAUCUUGCUGAACCUGAUAGUACCACAAAUCUUCGGAUGCGUGGAUAGUGUGCCUAAGCAGACUUCCAAGAAAAACCUCUAAGGCUAGGAUAAAGGUGCCCGUACCGUAAACCGACACAGGUAGUCAAGGAGAGAAUCCUGAGGUGCUCGAGUGAUUCAUGGUUAAGGAACUAGGCAAAAUAGCCCUGUAACUUCGGGAGAAGGGGCUCCUACUUCGGUAGGACGCAGUGAAAAGACCCAGGCGACUGUUUAUCAAAAACACAUGGCUGUGCGAACUUGAAAGAGGAUGUAUACGGCCUGACACCUGCCCGGUGCUGGAAGGUUAAGGGGGGAUGUUAUCUUCGGAGAAGCAUUGAACUGAAGCCCCAGUAAACGGCGGCCGUAACUAUAACGGUCCUAAGGUAGCGAAAUUCCUUGUCGGGUAAGUUCCGACCUGCACGAAUGGUGCAACGAUCUGGGUACUGUCUCAACCAUGAGCUCGGUGAAAUUGUAGUUCCGGUGAAGAUGCCGGAUACCCGCAACGGGACGGAAAGACCCCGUGAACCUUUACUAUAGCUUCACAUUGGUAUUGGGUAAAUGAUGUGUAGGAUAGCUGGGAGACUCUGAAGCUGCGUCGUCAGGCGUGGUGGAGUCGUUGGUGAAAUACCAGCCUUUAUUUAUCUGAUGCCUAACCCCGAAAGGGAGACAGUGUGUGGUGGGUAGUUUGACUGGGGUGGUCGCCUCCAAAAGAGUAACGGAGGCUUUCAAAGGUACCCUCAGCACGCUUGGUAACCGUGCGCAGAGUGCAAUAGCAUAAGGGUGCUUGACUGUGAGGCCUACAAGCCGAGCAGGUAGGAAACUAGGAUAUAGUGAUCCGGCGGUUCUGUAUGGAAGGGCCGUCGCUCAAAGGAUAAAAGGUACUCCGGGGAUAACAGGCUGAUCUCCCCCAAGAGCUCAUAUCGACGGGGGGGUUUGGCACCUCGAUGUCGGCUCGUCACAUCCUGGGGCUGGAGAAGGUCCCAAGGGUUGGGCUGUUCGCCCAUUAAAGUGGCACGCGAGCUGGGUUCAGAACGUCGUGAGACAGUUCGGUCCCUAUCUGUUGUGGGCGUAAGAAAUUUGAGUAGAUCUGACUUUAGUACGAGAGGACCGAGUUGGACUAACCGCUGGUGUACCAGUUGUUCCGCCAGGAGCACUGCUGGGUAGCUACGUUGGGAAGGGAUAAGCACUGAAAGCAUCUAAGUGCGAAACCCACUACAAGAUGAGAUUUCUUUUAAGAGAUGUUCUAGAUUAGGACGUAGAUAGGCUGCAGGUGUAAAGGCAGUAAUGUCAAAGCUGAGCAGUACUAAUUACUCGUAAACUUUUUUGAA
rnacentral:rRNA from 1 species